rnacentral:rRNA from 1 species
GGGACACGUGGUAUCCUGUCUGAAUAUGGGGGGACCAUCCUCCAAGGCUAAAUACUCCUGACUGACCGAUAGUGAACCAGUACCGUGAGGGAAAGGCGAAAAGAACCCCGGCGAGGGGAGUGAAAAAGAACCUGAAACCGUGUACGUACAAGCAGUGGGAGCACCUUCGGGUGUGACUGCGUACCUUUUGUAUAAUGGGUCAGCGACUUAUAUUCUGUAGCAAGGUUAACCGUAUAGGGGAGCCGCAGGGAAACCGAGUCUUAACUGGGCGUUAAGUUGCAGGGUAUAGACCCGAAACCCGGUGAUCUAGCCAUGGGCAGGUUGAAGGUUGGGUAACACUAACUGGAGGACCGAACCGACUAAUGUUGAAAAAUUAGCGGAUGACUUGUGGCUGGGGGUGAAAGGCCAAUCAGUUGAUAAUCGACCCGAGCUCUUUCUCACGUACUACGCUCAGGGCGCUGAGCAUCGCCGGGAUCAUCAUCAGCAGCAGCGGGAUCACCGCCGGGACGAUGGCCGGCAGGCUCUUCACGUCUGGAUUGUAGCGAUAGCGGGUCUCGAUGGA